AGGUCUAUUUUUUAUUAGAAGGAAACACGAAAUUAAGGUCUCAUAGCACCGAUUCUCUCUCAAACUCGGUUGGGAUGUUGCAGCACCGAGUUCUCUCUCAAACACAAAACUAGGUUGUUAUCUGCACCCUAUUGUUUCGCACAUGUUUCGAUUCCAUUCUCACUAAUAAGACACGAAAGGUCUCAUAGCUCCGAUUUUCUCUCAAACUCGGGGUUGGGGUGUUGCAGCACCGAGUUCUCUCUCAAACACGAAACUAGGCUUUUAUCUGCACCCUAUUGUUUCGCACAUGUUUCGAUUCCAUCACCACCGAUAAGAUUGCAAUCCACCCAGAUUCGUUAGGCACGUACAGGUUUGAUAUGGAAGACAGUGGCUUCCAAUUAUUCGAAAGUAACGAGGUUGACACAAACCUAAGUGAAGAUUUGGAUGGAUGAGCAUAUGGAAGAUGAAUUGACUGAGAGCAUUGGAGACAUGCAUGUUUGUUUUUGAAUCUUCCUUAUUAAGCUUUAUUAUGCGUUUAGAUGAUAACAAAUUAUUUUCUUUCCUAGGUUUGAUAUGGAAGACAGUGGUUUACAAGAUCAUUGCAAAAACUCCGUUAGUGAAGAUUUGAAUGACCAUAUGGAACACACAAACGGUACACGAGACGAAGAAUUUGAUGAUCGUACACUUUUCAAAGGCAAGCCGUAUAAGGACUUGACAUUAGAGGAUCUCCGUGGUGUUGAGUUUAAGAGUGUGGAAGACGUGGACAGAUUCUAAUCCUAUUAUUCAUUGGCAAUGGGUUUCAGCAUGAGCAAGUUUAAACUUGACAAGAACCGUUCUGGAACACAAUUCAACAGAAGAGUGCUAGUUUGCUCAAAAUAAGGUUAUAAAUAUAUUUGUGGAGUACCUUAACGAAAUAGGAAAGGAGGAUUGGUAUGUCCCAACAUACUUCGGGAUGUUCAUGUGAUUGUAGAGAAACUCUAUAAAAAUGGGAGACAACAUGUCAACUCAAGAAUGGAUUCAACAGACUAAAAGACUAAGUAGGCUUGACAGAUUCGAUCAUUGGCCAUUUUGCCAAAUGCAGAAGGAUUUUUAUCCCAAUGCACGAGCCAGGAAUGCAAGAGAAGGAUGCACAUUGGUAUUUGUUGGUGGAGCAUGUCAGAGAUAGGUCUGCAGAGAUCCUUGAUAGUGCUCCAAAUCCUUCCAAAACAAUAUCCCGGCAAAGAGAUGCACGGGCAGCGGUAUGGUUCUUCAAGUAACAUAAAUAAGCUACAAAAAAUCCACAUACUAUAGUUGGACAUGCUGGAUCGCAUUUAUGGCGACGCUAUGUCGAGACAUGCAAAUCGGUUGUUUGCCUUCGGAACCCUUCCCUUCAAGGCUGAUGGAGCUGGACCUUGACAGAAGAAUGAUACAGAUUGCGGUGUUUUUGUCAUUAGGAAUAUGCAGCAAUAUGGUACCGAUUGGGCUGCUACGUACAAUUCGGAUAUUGAACGUGCAAGUUUGGUGGUCGAGUGUCUAAGGCAUCCGAAGAACGAGGUGGGAGACUUGCAUGUGACAGUGGGCAGAUGCUUAGCUCGCAUCUCCGGGAAGAAGAGAAGUAAGAGAAACUGCAGUGUUGCCGACCCCUUAAAAUUUUCAAAAAAUACCAUAGAAUGGUAUAUUUUGUAGUGGACUUUAUGUUGCCAAGUUAAUUGUCGAACAUGGUGAUGUCAUCUUUUGUGAAAGGGGAGUUGGUAAAUUUUGUAAACUGAUAUUUGUGAAUGGCUUGGAGUUUUUCUUAUGUAUUCAAUUAACGUUUCAGUGAUUGUGGAUACA